rnacentral:rRNA from 1 species
ACGAACGCUGGCGGCGUGCUUAACACAUGCAAGUCGAACGGAAAGGCCCUGCUUUUGUGGGGUGCUCGAGUGGCGAACGGGUGAGUAACACGUGAGUAACCUGCCCUUGACUUUGGGAUAACUUCAGGAAACUGGGGCUAAUACCGGAUAGGAGCUCCUGCUGCAUGGUGGGGUUUGGAAAGUUUCGGCGGUUGGGGAUGGACUCGCGGCUUAUCAGCUUGUUGGUGGGGUAGUGGCUUACCAAGGCUUUGACGGGUAGCCGGCCUGAGAGGGUGACCGGCCACAUUGGGACUGAGAUACGGCCCAGACUCCUACGGGAGGCAGCAGUGGGGAAUAUUGCACAAUGGGCGGAAGCCUGAUGCAGCAACGCCGCGUGCGGGAUGACGGCCUUCGGGUUGUAAACCGCUUUCGCCUGUGACGAAGCGUGAGUGACGGUAAUGGGUAAAGAAGCACCGGCUAACUACGUG